UCUUAUCCCAAGAUAAGUUGGGAAAGUUUUUCGCUAAGAGAUCGGUCUAUAUCCCAUCAGUUAGUUGGUAGUGUAAGAGACUACCAAGACGAUGACGGGUAGCGGGUUUGAGAGGAUGAUCCGCCACACUGGUACUGAGACACGGACCAGACUCCUACGGGAGGCAGCAGUGAGGAAUAUUGCACAAUGGAGGAAACUCUGAUGCAGCAACGCCGCGUGGAGGAUGACGCAUUUCGGUGUGUAAACUCCUUUUAUAGGUCAAGAAAAUGACGGUAGCCUAUGAAUAAGCACCGGCUAACUCCGUGCCAGCAGCCGCGGUAAUACGGAGGGUGCAAGCGUUAUUCGGAAUCACUGGGCGUAAAGGACGCGUAGGCGAGUUUGUAAGUCAGGUGUGAAAUCCUACAGCUUAACUGUAGAACUGCACUUGAAACUACAGACCUAGA
rnacentral:rRNA from 1 species